UCACAAAGUGGCGGUGACAUGUC
rnacentral:miRNA from 1 species